AGUGAACGCUGGCGGUAGGCCUAACACAUGCAAGUCGAACGGCAGCACAGUAAGAGCUUGCUCUUACGGGUGGCGAGUGGCGGACGGGUGAGGAAUACAUCGGAAUCUACUUUUUCGUGGGGGAUAACGUAGGGAAACUUACGCUAAUACCGCAUACGACCUACGGGUGAAAGCAGGGGAUCUUCGGACCUUGCGCGAUUGAAUGAGCCGAUGUCGGAUUAGCUAGUUGGCGGGGUAAAGGCCCACCAAGGCGACGAUCCGUAGCUGGUCUGAGAGGAUGAUCAGCCACACUGGAACUGAGGCACGGUCCAGACUCCUACGGGAGGAAGCAGUGGGGAAUAUUGGACGAUGGGGGCAAGCCUGAUCCAGCCAUACCGCGUGGGUGAAGAAGGCCUUCGGGUUGUAAAGCCCUUUUGUUGGGAAAGAAAAGCAGCAGGUUAAUACCCCGCUGUUCUGACGGUACCCAAAGAAUAAGCACCGGCUAACUUCGUG
rnacentral:rRNA from 1 species